rnacentral:lncRNA from 1 species
UAAAAGGAUAGGUUAAACGGUUUGAAUCAUAGGUAAAAACCGGAAGCUUCUUAAAGAGAGCUUCUAAGCUGAGAGACUUUAUCCCACAACUGUGAGCAGAGAUCAUGGCGUUUUGCAUUGCCAAAGUUUCCCCAAUUAGGGGCGACGCCCCAAAAGAAGCUGUCGUUGAGUGAGAUGUGGAUGUUCCAGCAUCAUCGAUGGUCCACGUUUUGAAUACUGG